AAACCAAAAAUUAAAAUUAAACAAAAUAUUGGCUCUAAAAUGUCUGGCUGAAAUUAUUCUAUGGAAAGCAUUUUGAGCUGAAAGGAGUAGAGGCUUAGCAUGAAAUUUUCAGUGAUGUAUUUAUGAAGAAAGUCGACUUCUCUUACAGGUUUUUAAGGCUGUUGCAAUGAUGGAACAAUGGGAAUAAGAAACCUUCUCCUCUAUGGAUUCCUAGCAAAUCAGCAAUAAUCCUAGCCAGCCAAUACAAUUGCAAAUCAUGGGUUAGAAAAAAGAAAUUCUUCAUUUUAAUACCUGAAGUUGAGAAAUAUGUGCUUCAUAAAGGUUAGGAAAAUAUUAAAAUUCCUCAAGGUUUACUAAGAAGGCGAUAGUAUCAGGAAUAGGCCCUUCAAAUUUGUUCUCAUUGGGUUUGCUGCAGACGUCAAAAU
rnacentral:misc_RNA from 1 species